rnacentral:rRNA from 1 species
CCCUUAGAUGUCCUGGGCCGCACGCGCGCUACACUGAGUGUCUGAGAUACGAGUCUGCCUGGUCCGGCAAGGUCUAGGUAAUCGCUGAAAGACACAUCAUGCUUGGGAUAGAUUAUUGCAAAUAUUAAUCUUGAACGAGGAAUUCCUAGUAAGCGCAAGUCAACAGCUUGCGUUGAUUACGUCCCUGCCCUUUGUACACACCGCCCGUCGCUACUACUGAUUGGAUGUUUAAGCGAGGUUCUCGAACUGCUAGCGACUUAGCUUCGGUGAGGUCGCAGUGUGGGAAGUGAACCGAGCUUUGGUGUCUAGAGGAAGUAAAAGUCGUAACA